UACGGAGGGUGCGAGCGUUGUCCGGAAUCACUGGGCGUAAAGGGCGCGUAGGUGGCCCGUCAAGCGCGCGGUGAAAGCCCGGGGCUCAACCCCGGGUCGGCCGUGCGGACUGGCGGGCUCGAGCACUGUAGGGGCGGGUGGAAUUCCAGGUGUAGCGGUGAAAUGCGUAGAUAUCUGGAGGAACACCGGUGGCGAAGGCGGCAUCCUGGACCAACACUGACGCUGAGGAGCGAAAGCCAGGGGAGCAAACGGG
rnacentral:rRNA from 1 species